AGCGAACGCUGGCGGCAGGCUUAACACAUGCAAGUCGAGCGGGCACUUCGGUGUCAGCGGCAGACGGGUGAGUAACACGUGGGAACGUACCCUUCGGUUCGGAAUAACGCUGGGAAACUAGCGCUAAUACCGGAUACGCCCUUUUGGGGAAAGGUUUACUGCCGCAGGAUCGGCCCGCGUCUGAUUAGCUAGUUGGUGGGGUAAUGGCCUACCAAGGCGACGAUCAGUAGCUGGUCUGAGAGGAUGAUCUGCCACACUGGGACUGAGACACGGCCCAGACUCCUACGGGAGGCAGCAGUGGGGAAUAUUGGACAAUGGGCGCAAGCCUGAUCCAGCCAUGCCGCGUGAGUGAUGAAGGCCUUAGGGUUGUAAAGCUCUUUUGUCCGGGACGAUAAUGACGGUACCGGAAGAAUAAGCCCCGGCUAACUUCGUG
rnacentral:rRNA from 1 species